rnacentral:rRNA from 1 species
AUUGAACGCUGGCGGCAUGCUUUACACAUGCAAGUCGAACGGUAACAGGCCUUCGGGUGCUGACGAGUGGCGAACGGGUGAGUAAUGCAUCGGAACGUACCCAGAGGUGGGGGAUAACGCAGCGAAAGCUGUGCUAAUACCGCAUGUGAUCUGAGGAUGAAAGCGGGGGACCGAGCAGCAAUGUUUGGCCUCGCGCCUUUGGAGCGGCCGAUGUCGGAUUAGCUAGUUGGUGGGGUAAAGGCCUACCAAGGCGACGAUCCGUAGCUGGUCUGAGAGGACGACCAGCCACACUGGGAGUGAGACACGGCCCAGACUCCUACGGGAGGCAGCAGUGGGGAAUUUUGGACAAUGGGCGCAAGCCUGAUCCAGCAAUGCCGCGUGCGGGAAGAAGGCCUUCGGGUUGUAAACCGCUUUUGGCAGGAACGAAACGGUGUCCGCUAAUACCGGGCGCUAAUGACGGUACCUGCAGAAUAAGCACCGGCUAACUACGUG